ensembl:lncRNA FAM13A-AS1 FAM13A antisense RNA 1
GUAAAGCAAGUAAAAUGUAUUGUUUUGCCAGAUUAAAAAGGUGGUUUAAAGGUGGUAAAGAGAAUAGGAGCUUUCCAUUAAUAAGCUCCAUUCAACAAACAUUUAAUAAUCUACAUAAGUGCUACAUUUGAGGAGUUAAAAACAAACCCCACUACAUUUAAUUUUGCACAGAAAUUGCCAAAUUAUUUUAACUAACUUUGAGGCCUCAGAAUUCUCAUCCAUGAAAUGAGAUUGGAUCAGAUGAUUUCUAAGGUUACUUUGAGCUCUAAAAUUUUAUAAUUCCAUUACUGAGAGAGUGCCUGAACAUAGAGAUACCCAAUACAUAUUUCUAAAGAUUUGUUGCAUGAAUGAUAUCUUAUGCUGCUUCUAAAACACUAUGAUUUUUCUAAGAUAGUUUCCUUUUCCCCUUCAUUACCAAUGCUUUAGAAGACUUAAAUCUUCUGCAUAGGCAUUUCUGGAUUUGCCUACCCACCUACCAACCUUCCCUCCCCUGAAAACUUUCAGAUGCUUCUUCAUUGUUUUAGUCAUUUACCACUUUAAUGAAAUUAUCUGGCAACUUUAUUGUGGUGGGUGGGGAUCAAUGACGGUGUAAUGAGGCAAUUAGCAAAUUCUGAUAGUUCCAUCUACUCCAUGUGAAAGUCUCUUGAUGUUUUAUAUGGUACUCUUAUUAAUAAUCCCAGAGAGCAGGGGUUGGCAAACUAUGGCCCAUGGGCUAAAAUGGUUUUUACAUUUUAAAAGGGUUGAAAACUUUAAAACUGGAAGGAUACAUGACAGAGACUGGAUGGCCUACAAUGCCUAACAUAUUAUCUAGCCCUUUACAGAAAACAACUGACCAAUCCUUAUGAGACCAGACUUGCAAAAAUUACAGUAACAGAGUGAAAAACCUUCUUGAAGUGUUAGGAGGAACUUGAGUCAUAAUUUGAUGUUGAAUCAGAGAGAACAACUGUUUGGGCUUAUUUGCCUCAGAGGUAAGAAAAUCAAGUUUUAACUAAGAUUAACCCACAGAAGUAGAUAUUAAUACUAAGGUUUCGACCUAAUAAUAACUAACCUGUAUUAAUUGUGUGCAGUGUACCAGACCCAUAUGAGAUCCUGCACCAACAUUUGCUAUGCACUAACUAGUUUAAUUGCCAUUACCAGGGUCCUCCUGGCUCUGCUAUUUACUAGCUGUUUGACCUUGGGCAGGUUUCUUAACCUAUGUCUCAUUUUCUUCCUCUUCAAAAUGAGAACAGAAAUAGUGCCUACCUCAUGGAGUUGUUGUGAGGAUUAAAUGAAUUAAUGGAAAGCAUAUAGAAUAGCGCUUAGCACAUAAUAAGCUCUCAGUACUUAGAAUUACCAUUAUCCCAGUUUUUCACAUGAAGGAAUUAAUUAGAGAAAAUAGUUGCUCAUUAUCACAAAAUAGUGGGACCUGGACUUGACCAUUAAUCUGUGUUAUGCCCAGCUGCUAGAGAUGGGCAACAAAUUGGAUUAAGGCUGCUCAGUAGCCAAAUAAAAAGGAAUGUUGUAAUGUGGCAGGUAACUUCUUUGACCACAUAUCUGCAAAGACAUCGCACCGAGUUCCACGUAUCUGCAAAGACAUCGCACUGAGUUCCACGUAUCUGCAAAGACAUCACACUGAAUUUUGUUUUGCUGCCAGUGUGCAAUUCAGUAGUGAUCAGUGCAGUUCUCAUGUCAUUUGCAGUGGGUCUCAAGUGAAGCUGGAGGUCUCUGUUGGUAGUUAGUAGCCAGGAACCAGGUAUGCUUAAUGCCUUGCAUUGCAUAGAACAAUUCCUCUUUAUCCUGCCCAAGAUGCCAGUGGGCACUGCUAUGGUCUGAAUGUUUGUUUCCCUCUUAAAAUUUAUGUGUUGAAACCUAGCCCCCAAGAUGAUGGUAUUAGGAGGUGAGGUCUUUGGGAGGUGAUUAUAUCAUAAGGGCAGAACCCUCAUGAGUGGUAUUAGUUCCCUUAUAAAAGAGAACCCAGAGAGGUGCCUUGCCUUCCCUACCAUGUGAGGACACAGCAAGAAGGCACAAUCUGUGAGAAAGUAGGCCCUCGCCAGACACCACCAGUGCUUUGAUCUUGGAUUUCCCAGCCUCCAGAACUGUGAAAAAUGAUUUUCUGUUGUAAAUUACCUAGUGUUUGGCAUUUUGUUAUAGUGGCUUGACUGGACUAAGACAGGCCCCUUUGUAAAACACUGAGAGAGGGAUGGACUUCAUACCCUUUAGGGGAUCCUUCUCUGUAGAAUUCUUUUUUUCAGAAGAUUUUUUUUUUUCUUUUAUUAAUAAGCUUUUUAUUUUUGAAUACUUUUUUAUUGGUACAUAGUUGUACGUAUUAUGGGGUACUUGUGGUAUUUUGAUACAAGCAUACAAUGAAUGCAUAAUGAUUAAAUCUGGGUAAUUAAGAUAUCAAAACAUCUAUCAUUUCUUUUUGUUGGUUACAUUCCAAAUCUUCUAGCUAUUUUUAAACAUACAAUAAAUUAUUAACUAUAGCCACCCUAUUGUGCUAUCAAACAAUAGAGCUUAUUCCAUUUAACUGUUAUUUUUGUACCCAUUAACCAACCUCUUUUUAUCCCUCUCCUCCUAGUAUUUGCCCAGCCUCUGGUAACUAUCAUUCUAUUCUCUACCUCCAUGAGAGCAACUUUCUUAGCUCCCACAUGUGAAUGAGAACAUGCAAUAUUUGUCUUUCUGUGCCUGGCUUAUUUCAGUUAACAUCGUGACCUCCAGUUCCAUCCAUGUUGCUGCAAAUGGAUUCAGAAUCCAUGGCUGGAAGAGGUAGUAAGGCCAUUGGGAGGGCAUGCCUCUCCUCAGCCCACCCCCACCCUGUGUGGGUCUCCAUUCUGAAAUUUCCAUUCAGAUGACCCGGUCCUAGGCAGGGACCAAAAUUCCUUGUCAGCUGAGGAAGUCCUGAAGAAACAUCCUGAAGAUGAUGACUGCACUGCCAUCGUGGGCAGAUGCAGCUUCCAUCUACCUGAGGGCUGAAGGGGAAAACCUUUCACACACGUGAGGAAGGCGCAGCUCUGUGGAAAGGUCACUAGAAUGGCAGCGGCAGCAAAUAGGGCUCCAAUGCACGUUUGCAGUUAACUGGGUCCAAGGAGAGCAUGGCCCUCCACAGCAAGUUUGCUCUAUAGAAUAAAGUCCUGAGCUUGUUUUUAUCACAGUUAGACAGAGAAUGGUCUCUUGUUUCUCAGUUAUCCAGGGAAGAACAGUGUAUAUUCUCUGUAGAUGAGUGUUGUCUAAUGUAGUGAUUAAUCUCUGCUAGUGUUAGGAAAGCUCCACUACUGUGUGUGUGUGUGCGUGCAUGCGCGUGCGCAUGUGCACAUACUGCAGUCUUGACUUUCCAAUUACAAAAUGCCUAAGUCAGGUCACAUUGUCUUCUUCCAGCCAGUUUCUAAGGCAGGCAAUGGAAACAGGAGCCGAUGCCAAAUGGUCUAGAGGCAGAAGGGCUGCAUGCUUUGCAGGGCCAGCCCCAAGGCUGCCUUCCAGAGCUGCACUUUCUCUGGGGACAGUAAACUCUCACCGCAGCUGCCAGCCCCCUGUGCUUGGCCAUGCCCCUCACAUGGACUUGGAAUCAGUGUCUCUCUUGCUGAUGAGCACCUCCAGGAGCCUCAGUUUCGCCUUUAUGUGCUUAUAUUCACUGUAUUCUUCAGCCAUAGGAGUGCGGUCUUCCUUCUGGACAUUUCUAAUGCAAAUAA